UACCAGCACCCCGAGUGGUCGGGACGAUUAUUGGGCCUAAAGCAUCCGUAGCCGGUCAUGCAAGUCUUCCGUUAAAUCCAGCCGCUCAACGGUUGGGCUGCGGAGGAUACUACGGAGCUAGGAGGCGGGAGAGGCAAGCGGUACUCGAUGGGUAGGGGUAAAAUCCGUUGAUCCAUUGAAGACCACCAGUGGCGAAGGCGGCUUGCCAGAACGCGCUCGACGGUGAGGGAUGAAAGCUGGGGGAGCAAACCGG
rnacentral:rRNA from 1 species